rnacentral:rRNA from 1 species
UACGAGUGGUGCAAGCGUUAUUCGGAAUCAUUGGGCGUAAAGGGUGUGUAGACGGUAUGCUAAGUCAGUUGUUUAAUUCUCCGGCCUAACCGGAGGCCAGCAGCAGAAACUGGUGUGCUAGAGGGUGGAAGAGAGGAGUGGAAUUCUCGGAGUAGCGGUAAAAUGCGUAGAUCUCGAGAGGAACACCAAUGGCGAAGGCAGCUUCUUGGUCCAUACCUGACGUUGAGACACGAAAGCGUGGGGAGCAAACAGG